UACGUAGGGGGCAAGCGUUAUCCGGAUUUACUGGGUGUAAAGGGAGCGCAGACGGCCAAGCAAGUCUGAAGUGAAAUGCAUGGGCUCAACCCUAUGAAUUGCUUUGGAAACUGUUAGGCUUUGAGUCGUCGGAGAGGUAAGCGGAAUUCCUAGUGUAGCGGUGAAAUGCGUAGAUAUUANGGAGGAACACCGGAGGCGAAGCGGUCAUACUGGACGGCAACUGACGUUGAGGCUCGAAGGC
rnacentral:rRNA from 1 species